UACGAAGGGGGCUAGCGUUGCUCGGAAUCACUGGGCGUAAAGGGUGCGUAGGCGGGUCUUUAAGUCAGGGGUGAAAUCCUGGAGCUCAACUCCAGAACUGCCUUUGAUACUGAGGAUCUUGAGUUCGGGAGAGGUGAGUGGAACUGCGAGUGUAGAGGUGAAAUUCGUAGAUAUUCGCAAGAACACCGGUGGCGAAGGCGGCUCACUGGCUCGUAACUGACGCUCAUGCACGACAGCGUGGGGAUCAAACAGG
rnacentral:rRNA from 1 species